GAAUAGCGAAAUUUUUAUGUCCGCAAUUCCGCAUCCGAAAACUCCUUGCGAAUUGCAAUCUAUAGCAAUAUGGCAACGUUUUUAAUCACGUCUGCUAUUCAUUCAUGUCUGCUACUAAUGGUGGGGAUUUCGAUAGGCAUCAAAAUAACCUCAUGGUGGUGAUUGAGUUCAAUUGAAAAAUAAUAAAUGUUGUGCACGACAUUCUAUGCAUAUGAAUAUAGUCGAUGAGAUAAAAGAAUGAAAUGCUUCUAAAAUAACUAAGUUUCGUGAUCCUAGACAUGUCAUGACCCACACAAUUCCUGUUAUUUUGUCUCCCCAAUUUCUUCUCUGCUCUGGCUUGGUCUGGGACUUCCCCGAAUUAAAACAUCAACUUUGUUAAAUGUUGAAAUGAAGUUACUGUGUCUUUGAUACAAAAAAAUGAGUGGGCCAAAUUUAUCCCUGGGGAGAUAUUGAUCACUGAUGAAGAUGCCAAGAUGGUAAAGAGAGAUAAAUUUAGUCCGAUGGAGUUUGUCUUCCUCAAAGUAAAACAUUCUACACCUUUUGGUUGUUGA